AGGGUGAGGGAGGGGGUGGGAUGGGUGGGGGGUAACGGGGGAAACUGGGGAAGUGGGGAACCGAGGGGCAACCAGGGGAAGAUGGGGUGCUGGAGGAGAGCUUGUGGGAGCCAAGGAGCACCUUGGACAUCUGGAGUCUGGCAGGAGUGAUGACGGGUGGAGGGGCUAGCUCGAGGCAGGGCUGGUGGGGCCUGAGGCCAGUGAGGAGUGUGGAGUAGGCGCCCAGGCAUCGUGCAGACAGGGCGACAUCAGCUGGGGACGAUGGGCCUGAGCUAGGGCUGGAAAGAAGGGGGAGCCAGGCAUUCAUCCCGGUCACUUUUGGUUACAGGACGUGGCAGCUGGUUGGACGAGGGGAGCUGGUGGGCAGGGUUUGAUCCCAGGGCCUGGGCAACGGAGGUGUAGCUGGCAGCAGCGGGCAGGUGAGGACCCCAUCUGCCGGGCAGGUGAGUCCCUUCCCUCCCCAGGCCUCGCUUCCCCAGCCUUCUGAAAGAAGGAGGUUUAGGGGAUCGAGGGCUGGCGGGGAGAAGCAGACACCCUCCCAGCAGAGGGGCAGGAUGGGGGCAGGAGAGUUAGCAAAGGUGAAGCUAGAGGAACCAGACCUCAUCAGCCCAACAUCAAAGACACCAUCGGAACAGCAGCGCCCGCAGCACCCACCCCGCACCGGCGACUCCAUCUUCAUGGCCACCCCCUGCGGCGGACGGUUGACCACCAGCCACCACAUCAUCCCAGAGCUGAGCUCCUCCAGCGGGAUGACGCCGUCCCCACCACCUCCCUCUUCUUCUUUUUCAUCCUUCUGUCUCUUUGUUUCUGAGCUUUCCUGUCUUUCCUUUUUUCUGAGAGAUUCAAAGCCUCCACGACUCUGUUUCCCCCGUCCCUUCUGAAUUUAAUUUGCACUAAGUCAUUUGCACUGGUUGGAGUUGUGGAGACGGCCUUGAGUCUCAGUACGAGUGUGCGUGAGUGUGAGCCACCUUGGCAAGUGCCUGUGCAGGGCCCGGCCGCCCUCCAUCUGGGCCGGGUGACUGGGCGCCGGCUGUGUGCCCGAGGCCUCACCCUGCCCUCGCCUAGUCUGGAAGCUCCGACCGACAUCACGGAGCAGCCUUCAAGCAUUCCAUUACGCCCCAUCUCGCUCUGUGCCCCUCCCCACCAGGGCUUCAGCAGGAGCCCUGGACUCAUCAUCAAUAAACACUGUUACAGCAA
rnacentral:lncRNA from 1 species